rnacentral:rRNA from 2 species
GGUAACAUUGAUGCUUGCAUCAGAUGACGAGUGGCGCACGGGUGAGUAACGCGUAUACAAUCUACCUUUUACAGGGGGAUAGCCUUUAGAAAUGAAGAUUAAUAUCCCAUAGUAAGUAGUUUUGGCAUCAAGACAACUUUAAAGUUUCGGCGGUAAAAGAUGAGUAUGCGUUCUAUUAGUUAGUUGGUAAGGUAACGGCUUACCAAGACCACGAUAGAUAGGGGCCCUGAGAGGGGGAUCCCCCACACUGGUACUGAGACACGGACCAGACUCCUACGGGAGGCAGCAGUGAGGAAUAUUGGACAAUGGGCGCGAGCCUGAUCCAGCCAUGCCGCGUGCAGGAAGACUGCCCUAUGGGUUGUAAACUGCUUUUAUACAGGAAGAAACCUUUUCACGUGUGAAAAGCUGACGGUACUGUAAGAAUAAGGAUCGGCUAACUCCGUGCCAGCAGCCGCGGUAAUACGGAGGAUCCAAGCGUUAUCCGGAAUCAUUGGGUUUAAAGGGUCCGUAGGUGGAUAAUUAAGUCAGGGGUGAAAGUUUGCAGCUCAACUGUAAAAUUGCCUUUGAUACUGGUUAUCUUGAAUUAUUGUGAAGUGGUUAGAAUAUGU